GGUGGAUGUUUUGGCUCGGGCAUAGAUGAAGAACGCAGCCAGUUGCGAUAAGUAGUGUGAAAAGCCGAAUUCAGUGAAUCUUUGAAUCUUCGAACGCAAAUGUCGCUUUCGGGUUCUCCCGGGAGCAUGUCCGUGUGAGCGUCGGCAU
rnacentral:rRNA from 1 species